rnacentral:rRNA from 1 species
UGCCAGACUCCUACGGGAGGCAGCAGUGGGGAAUAUUGCACAAUGGGGGGAACCCUGAUGCAGCGACGCCGCGUGGGUGAAGGAGCACCUCGGUGCGUAAAGCCCUAUCGGCAGGGAAGAAACAGACGGUACCUGACUAAGAAGCCCCGGCUAACUACGUGCCAGCAGCCGCGGUAAUACGUAGGGGGCAAGCGUUAUCCGGAUUCACCGGGUGUAAAGGGAGCGUAGACGGCGACGCAAGUCUGGAGUGAAAGCCCGGGGCCCAACCCUGGGACUGCAUUGGAAACUGUAUUGCUUGAGUACCGGAGAGGCAGGCGGAAUUCCUAGUGUAGUGGUGAAAUGCGUAGAUAUUAGGAGGAACACCAGUGGCGAAGGCGGCCUGCUGGACGGUAACUGACGCUGAGGCUCGAAAGCGUGGGGAGCAAACAGGAUUAGAUACCCUUGUA